rnacentral:snoRNA from 1 species
UUGGUCUAAUUCUAAAUGUGCUCUAUUUUGGAUCAAAAAUUAUUCAAGAUUAUUUC